rnacentral:rRNA from 1 species
AUGCCGUCGAUUGACAAGGCCACCGACAACGGCGAGCUGAAGCAGAGGCGGCCGGAGCUGGAGCUGGUCUGCGUCACGGGCGCGGGAGGCUUCAUCGGCUCGUGGGUGGUGAAGGAGCUCCUCCUCCGCGGCUACCGCGUCAGGGGAACCGCCAGGGACCCCGCUGACCAAAAGAACGCGCACCUGUUGGCGCUGGAGGGCGCCGAGGAGAGGCUCACCCUGUGCCGCGCCGACGUCCUCGACUACGACGGCCUCCGCGCCGCCUUCCGCGGCUGCCGCGGGGUCUUCCACGUUGCCUCCCCCGUCUCCAACAUCCCCGUCAGUUCACUUCCUAUGCUCCGCUCGCUUCUUGCGAUUCUAACAAGCGCCGCGUACUGGGUGGCUUACCUCGUGCUCUGCUAUGCUGUCUUGCAGGACCUCGUGCCGGUCGCCGUGGAGGGGACGAGGAACGUGAUCAGAGCGGCGGCGGACGUGGGCGUGCGGCGGGUGGUGUUCACGUCGUCCUACGGCGCCGUGCACAUGGACCCCAACCACAGGCCCGACGCAGUGCUCCACGAGACGUACUGGAGCGAUUAUUUUUUUUGA